AAGUCGUAACAAGGUUUCCGUAGGUGAACCUGCGGAAGGAUCAUUACCAAGAGCCGCUGCCGCUUUGUGACAUGAAAGUCUUUUUCAAAAAAAAAAACUUUUUUUUCUCACUCGCGUGCAUGCGUGCCCACCCACACACACACACACACCGUGAACCGAACGAACCGUUUCGCGCGCGCGCCCUGUGCGUGCGCGCCAGUAUCUGAACGCUUUUUUUCAGACACACACACACCAUGAAACUUUUUAUACUUAACACACAUACAACUUUCAACAAUGGAUCUCUUGGUUCCC
rnacentral:misc_RNA from 1 species